GGGGUUGUAGCUCAGUGGUAGGGCGCCUGCCUUCUAUGCGUGAGGCACUGGGUUCGAUCCUCAACAUCA
rnacentral:tRNA from 1 species